rnacentral:pre_miRNA from 1 species
AUAUUACUCCCUCCGUCCGAAAAUACUUGUCAUCAAAAUGGAUAAGAAGAGAUGUAUUUAAAACUAAAAUACAUCUAGAUACAUCCUCUUUUAUUCAUUUUGAUGACAAGUAUUUUCGGACGGAGGGAGUAUGUU